GGUCCGUGAUGAGAAAUAGCCAAAUCUGAGCACCAGAGGAUAAACUGAUCUUCCGGGUGCUGUGAUUUGUACACCGUUCUGAGA
ensembl:snoRNA